rnacentral:rRNA from 1 species
AGAGUUUGAUCCUGGCUCAGGACGAACGCUGGCGGCGUGCCUAAUACAUGCAAGUCGAGCGAGCUUGCCUAGAUGAUUUUUGGUGCUUGCACUAAAUGAAACUAGAUACAAGCGAGCGGCGGACGGGUGAGUAACACGUGGGUAACCUGCCCAAGAGACUGGGAUAGCACCUGGAAACAGAUGCUAAUACCGGAUAACAACACUAGACGCAUGUCUAGAGUUUGAAAGAUGGUUCUGCUACCACUCUUGGAUGGACCUGCGGUGCAUUAGCUAGUUGGUAAGGUAACGGCUUACCAAGGCAAUGAUGCAUAGCCGAGUUGAGAGACUGAUCGGCCACAUUGGGACUGAGACACGGCCCAAACUCCUACGGGAGGCAGCAGUAGGGAAUCUUCCACAAUGGACGAAAGUCUGAUGGAGCAACGCCGCGUGAGUGAAGAAGGGUUUCGGCUCGUAAAGCUCUGUUGGUAGUGAAGAAAGAUAGAGGUAGUAACUGGCCUUUAUUUGACGGUAAUUACUUAGAAAGUCACGGCUAACUACGUGCCAGCAGCCGCGGUAAUACGUAGGUGGCAAGCGUUGUCCGGAUUUAUUGGGCGUAAAGCGAGUGCAGGCGGUUCAAUAAGUCUGAUGUGAAAGCCUUCGGCUCAACCGGAGAAUUGCAUCAGAAACUGUUGAACUUGAGUGCAGAAGAGGAGAGUGGAACUCCAUGUGUAGCGGUGGAAUGCGUAGAUAUAUGGAAGAACACCAGUGGCGAAGGCGGCUCUCUGGUCUGCAACUGACGCUGAGGCUCGAAAGCAUGGGUAGCGAACAGGAUUAGAUACCCUGGUAGUCCAUGCCGUAAACGAUGAGUGCUAAGUGUUGGGAGGUUUCCGCCUCUCAGUGCUGCAGCU